rnacentral:rRNA from 1 species
AUUGAACGCUGGCGGCAGGCCUAACACAUGCAAGUCGGACGGUAGCACAGAGAGCUUGCUCUCGGGUGACGAGUGGCGGACGGGUGAGUAAUGUCUGGGGAUCUGCCCGAUAGAGGGGGAUAACCACUGGAAACGGUGGCUAAUACCGCAUAACGUCGCAAGACCAAAGAGGGGGACCUUCGGGCCUCUCACUAUCGGAUGAACCCAGAUGGGAUUAGCUAGUAGGCGGGGUAACGGCCCACCUAGGCGACGAUCCCUAGCUGGUCUGAGAGGAUGACCAGCCACCCUGGAACUGGGACACGGGCCAGACGCCUACGGGGGGCAGCAGUGGGGAAUAUUGCACAAUGGGCGCAAGCCUGAUGCAGCCAUGCCGCGUGUAUGAAGAAGGCCUUCGGGUUGUAAAGUACUUUCAGCGGGGAGGAAGGCGAUAAGGUUAAUAACCUUGUCGAUUGACGUUACCCGCAGAAGAAGCACCGGCUAACUCCGUGCCAGCAGCCGCCGUAA